rnacentral:rRNA from 1 species
UACAGAGGGUGCGAGCGUUGUCCGGAAUCAUUGGGCGUAAAGCGCGUGUAGGCGGUUCAGUAAGUCUGCUGUGAAAGUCCAGGGCUCAACCCUGGGAUGCCGGUGGAUACUGCUGGGCUAGAGUGCGGAAGAGGCGAGUGGAAUUCCCGGUGUAGCGGUGAAAUGCGCAGAUAUCGGGAGGAACACCAAUUGCGAAGGCAGCUCGCUGGGACGUCACUGACGCUGAGACGCGAAAGCGUGGGGAGCAAACAGG